UACGUAGGGUCCGAGCGUUGUCCGGAAUUAUUGGGCGUAAAGAGCUCGUAGGCGGUGUGUCACGUCGGCCGUGAAAACCUGCAGCUUAACUGUGGGCGUGCGGUCGAUACGGGCAUCACUGGAGUUCGGCAGGGGAGACUGGAAUUCCUGGUGUAGCGGUGAAAUGCGCAGAUAUCGAGAGGAACACCUGCGGCGAAGGCGGGUUGCUGGGCUGACACUGACGCUGAUGCGCGAAAGCCAGGGGAGCGAACGGG
rnacentral:rRNA from 1 species